GCCACGCAUGUCUAAGUAUAAGCAAUCAUACUGUGAAACUGCGAAUGGCUCAUUAAAUCAGUUAUCGUUUAUUUGAUAGUACCUUUAGCUGGAUAACCGUGGUAAUUCUAGAGCUAAUACAUGCUAAAAACCCCGACUUCGGAAGGGGUGUAUUUAUUAGAUAAAAAACCAAUGCCCUCUGGGCUCUUUGGUGAUUCAUAAUAACUUAACGAAUCGCAUGGCCUUGCGCCGGCGAUGGUUCAUUCAAAUUUCUGCCCUAUCAACUUUCGAUUGUAAGAUAGAGGCUUACAAUGGUAUUAACGGGUAACGGGGAAUUAGGGUUCUAUUCCGGAGAGGGAGCCUGAGAAACGGCUACCACAUCCAAGGAAGGCAGCAGGCGCGCAAAUUACCCAAUGCUAAUUCAGCGAGGUAGUGACAAUAAAUACUGAUACGGGGCUCUUUCGGGUCUCGUAAUUGGAAUGAGUACAAUCUAAAUCCCUUAACGAGGAACAAUUGGAGGGCAAGUCUGGUGCCAGCAGCCGCGGUAAUUCCAGCUCCAAUAGCGUAUAUUAAAGUUGUUGCCGUUAAAAAGCUCGUAGUUGAACCUUGGACCUGGCUGAUCUGUCCUCCUAAUCGAGCGCACGGAUUCGGUCGGGUCUUUCCUUCUGGGGAGCCCUAUGCCCUUCACUGGGUGUAGUGGGGAACCAGGACUUUUACCUUGAAAAAAUUAGAGUGUUCAAAGCAGGCCUUUGCUCGAAUACAUUAGCAUGGAAUAAUAGAAUAGGACAUCGGUUCUAUUUUGUUGGUUUCUAGGACCGCUGUAAUGAUUAAUAGGGAUAGUCGGGGGCGUCAGUAUACAAUUGUCAGAGGUGAAAUUCUUGGAUUUAUUGAAGACUAACUACUGCGAAAGCAUUCGCCAAGGAUGUUUUCAUUAAUCAGUGAACGAAAGUUAGGGGAUCGAAGACGAUCAGAUACCGUCGUAGUCUUAACCAUAAACUAUGCCGACUAGGGAUCGGACGGUGGUUUUUUUAUGCCCCGUUCGGCACCUUACGAGAAAUCAAAGUUUUUGGGCUCGGGGGGGAGUAUGGUCGCAAGGCUGAAACUUAAAGAAAUUGACGGAAGGGCACCACCAGGCGUGGAGCCUGCGGCUUAAUUUGACCCAACACGGGGAAACUCACCAGGUCCAGACAUGCUUAGGAUUGACAGAUUGAUAGCUCUUUCUUGAUUGUAUGGGUGGUGGUGCAUGGCCGUUCUUAGUUGGUGGAGUGAUUUGUCUGCUUAAUUGCGAUAACGAACGAGACCUUGACCUGCUAAAUAGCCAGGUUGACUUCG
rnacentral:rRNA from 1 species